rnacentral:rRNA from 1 species
GAUCCUGGCUCAGGAUGAACGCUGGCGGCGCGCCUAACACAUGCAAGUCGAACGGCACCCCUCUCCGGAGGGAAGCGAGUGGCGAACGGCUGAGUAACACGUGGAGAACCUGCCCCCUCCCCCGGGAUAGCCGCCCGAAAGGACGGGUAAUACCGGAUACCCCGGGGUGCCGCAUGGCACCCCGGCUAAAGCCCCCGACGGGAGGGGAUGGCUCCGCGGCCCAUCAGGUAGACGGCGGGGUGACGGCCCACCGUGCCGACAACGGGUAGCCGGGUUGAGAG